rnacentral:rRNA from 1 species
CCUACGGGAGUCUGCAGUGAGGAAUAUUGGUCAAUGGGCGCGAGCCUGAACCAGCCAAGUAGCGUGAAGGAUGACUGCCCUCCGGGUUGUAAACUUCUUUUAUAGAGGAAUAAAGUGCGGCACGUGUGCCUUUUUGUAUGUACUUUAUGAAUAAGGAUCGGCUAACUCCGUGCCAGCAGCCGCGGUAAUCCGGAGGAUCCGAGCGUUAUCCGGAUUUAUUGGGUUUAAAGGGAGCGUAGAUGGGUUGUUAAGUCAGUUGUGAAAGUUUGCGGCUCAACCGUAAAAUUGCAAUUGAUACUGGCAGCCGUGAGUACAGGUGAGGUAGGCGGAAUUCGUGGUGUAGCGGUGAAAUGCUUAGAUAUCACGAAGAACUCCGAUUGCGAAGGCAGCGUACUAGACUGCCACUGACGUUGAUGCUCGAAAGUGUGGGUAUCAAACAGGAUUAGAUACCCGUGUAGUC